rnacentral:rRNA from 1 species
GACAGAGGUGCCGAGCGUUAGGCGGAAUCACUGGGCUUAAAGCGUGUGUAGGCGGAUGGGUAAGUACCUUGUGAAAUCCCACGGCUCAACCGUGGAACUGCUCGGUAUACUGCUCGUCUUUGAGCCAACUAGGGGGCGCCGGAACAAACGGUGGAGCGGUGAAAAUGCGUAGAUAUCGUUUUGGGAACGCCAAAGGUGAAAACAGACUGCUGGGGGCUGUGCUGACGCUGAGACACGAAAGCCAGGGGGAGCGAACGGGG